rnacentral:rRNA from 1 species
GACGUAGGGCGCGAGCGUUGUCCGGAUUUAUUGGGCGUAAAGAGCUCGUAGGCGGUUUGUUGCGUCGGCUGCGAAAUCCCGAGGCUCAACCUCGGGUCUGCAGUCGAUACGAGCAAACUAGAGUGUUGCAGGGGAGACUGGAAUUCCUGGUGUAGCGGUGAAAUGCGCAGAUAUCAGGAGGAACACCGGUGGCGAAGGCGGUUCUCUGGGCAUUACCUGACGCUGAGGAGCGAAAGUGUGGGGAGCGAACAGG